rnacentral:lncRNA from 1 species
UUUUUUUUUUUUUUUUUGAGACGGAGUGUUUCACUCUUGUUGCCCAGGCUGGAGUGCAAUGGCACAAUCUCGGCUCACCCGCAACCUCUGCCUCCCUGGUUCAAGCAAUUAUCCUGCCUCAGCCUCCCGAGUAGCUGGGAUUAUAGGCAUGUGCCACCACGCCCGGCUAAUUUUGUAUUUUUGGUAGAGACAGGGUUUCUCCAUGUUGGUCAGCCUGGUCUUGAACUCCCAACUUCAGGUGAUCCGCCCACUUUGGCCUCCCAAAGUGCUGGGAUUACAGGUGUGAGCCAUCGCGCCUGGCCGGGAAAUCCAAUUUUAGGUGAAUCCUACAUUACAGUACUACCUUAAGAGGGGUGUGGAGGACAUUAUCUCUUAGCUCAACUACACCAGAUGCCUGAAAGGGUGAUGCCAAGGCCGCCUCUGCUUUUGGAACUUGACAAGGUCAAAUGGCAGCCUGCAAACCUGAGUGGCCUGGCCCUGGAGGACAUCUGCUGGUCUGACGUGGUGAUGGACUAGAUAAACUGCUAUGACUGAGUGGAACUCUGGUCUUCCUUUUUAGGUGAUAUCCAGCAAACUGCAAUAUGGGCCCACCUGGCCCUGUGGGUAAGGUUAUAACAUUGAUGGUGAUUGCAGAUGUAUUGAAACCCUGAGUUCCAGCCUCCUCAGGAUACAGCAACAAUAAUGACAUCUGUGGAAGAGCUGGGUGGAGCCAACCCUGGGCUAACGCUGGCAUGCAGCGGUUCUUUUUACAUGCAUCGUAGGCACAGGCAGCCCUGCAGCAAGGCAGGAAGCAGGCAAUGCUAAAGGAGCUGCCCAGACAAACGUGACUAUUCCACUUCGAGAACGCUGGGGCUGGGGCCGGGGGUGGCCUGCAGAGUGAGCUCUCAGCCCCCAGAACAUCGUGGCUGUCACUGGAGUACCAGUGUUUCCAGGGACUUUGCUGCCUCAGUUCUGACCUCUGUGAGGGACUGGAGACUUAGGGCCAGCCACACUGACAGCCAUGUGGUCAAGCUCCCAGACACACCUGGACCCCAAAGGCGCCUGCUCAGCACUAUUGUGUGUGCUGCAUCCUGAGGACACGGGAGCUCUGUGACUGGGCUCUCCUGGACUCUGCUCCAGGCCUCAUCAAUGACUUUAACCUGCUUCCUUUCACCAUGAGCUGUCUGAGUCACACAGGUGAAUUAACGAGCCUGAGGGUGGACGUAAGGAUCCCCAAAUCUGUAGCCCAUUGCUCCGCCGUGAGGGUGGUCCUGGGGAUGCCUGAGCUUGUCUCUGGUGUCUGCAGUGAGGGUAGUCUCAUAGGGGCUAUUCCCUAAAGCUGCAGUUUGCCAAACUUGCAGGCAUGGAAUUCCAGAAUCACCUUAGAAACUCUAAAGUCAGAAGAGAAGUUGUUCUCCAAGAGCCUCCGCAGGGAUGUGCUGGGUGCCAAGUUCAUUUUAUUGGCUCAAUGGCCUGUGCAGGAAGAACAGCUGGUGCCCCUCUUCACAGGGGAGACCAGUGAGGCCCAGGGAGGUGAAGUCACUUGCCUGAGGUCCCAGGAGUAACUGGGGCUGGGUAGGAGCAGGAAUGGCUGCUGCCAGCCAGAGGUGUCCCUAACCUGCCUGUUCUCUUGAAUGGAGCCUGUCGCCUACUGGCUUCUGCUGGUGGGGACUGUGCACCGAAAGGUGCUGGAUCUAGUUUUUCUGAAAAUCAGCAAAAUAGAAGGAACAGAGACAGCCAGGCCAGGGACAAGGAAGACCUAGCUUCUGCUGCACCCUUGGGGAUGGGGGCUGGAGAGGAGCAGGGACAGAGGGCCCCCACCGCAGGCUUCCGGCAAGAGGCUCCCAAACACCUGUUCUUUAGAAGCUUGAACCAGUUGCCACCUCUUAACACUGGGAGAGCUUGUGUUGAGGAACAAGAACAUCUGGCCAUCCCGGGCCACAUGCCCAGAAGGCGGCCGUUGCUGGAGCCAAGCGUAGCCGCCCCCUUCACACAGGGUGUGUGCUCCCCAACGCGCCCGACAGCGCUGCUUCCUUCCACCCACAGUGAGAAACACUUCCUACCACAAGCCAGAGCUGGCGUGCCCACGC